UGGGGAAUUUUGGACAAUGGGCGCAAGCCUGAUCCAGCCAUGCCGCGUGCGGGAAGAAGGCCUUCGGGUUGUAAACCGCUUUUGUCAGGGAAGAAAUCUUCUGAGUUAAUACCUCGGGAGGAUGACGGUACCUGAAGAAUAAGCACCGGCUAACUACGUGCCAGCAGCCGCGGUAAUACGUAGGGUGCAAGCGUUAAUCGGAAUUACUGGGCGUAAAGCGUGCGCAGGCGGUUUUGUAAGACAGAGGUGAAAUCCCCGGGCUCAACCUGGGAACUGCCUUUGUGACUGCAAGGCUUGAGUGCGGCAGAGGGGGAUGGAAUUCCGCGUGUAGCAGUGAAAUGCGUAGAUAUGCGGAGGAACACCGACGGCGAAGGCAAUCCCCUGGGCCUGCACUGACGCUCAUGCACGAAAGCGUGGGGAGCAAACAGGAUUAGAUACCCUGGUAGUCCACGCCCUAAACGAUGUCAACUGGUUGUUGGGAAGGUUCCUUCUCAGUAACGUAGCUAACGCGUGAAGUUGACCGCCUGGGGAGUACGGCCGCAAGGUUG
rnacentral:rRNA from 1 species